CAGAGUUUCAGCUCUUUCAGAAUUUGCCUAGCAGGUUUUCUGGUCCUCAUCGGAAGACCCCC
rnacentral:snRNA from 1 species